rnacentral:misc_RNA from 1 species
UCCGUUUCGACGCCGUCCACUUGUGCACUGCAUCACCAGCGGUGCAAUACGCGGCCGUCUUUUCUGUGUUGUCCAUUUUCUGCGUUUCACUAGCGGCGAAAAGUGGUCAUGCCUUAUUCUCCCCUGUUUGCUGCGCUCAUCCUAUUUGUCGUGUCGUUGGGUUUCGCCAAUGGCGACAGCUCGUUCAACUUUGAAGCUCAGGUUAUCUUAGAAAACGCUACGGUAAACUCUGACUUCGUUGUGACGACCGGCUUCACCGAACUCAUCACAACCGCGCUCCAGAAUGUGGCCAACCCGCCAUCGCCCCUGAGAACGGUGGUGCAGGCUGUGCCGCCUCACUUGGUGAUCAUGCUUAGCAUGUGGUACACCGGAGAGCCCGAGUCUGUACAGACGGCAAUCAGCAAUAUUAACAAGACCUACACCAAAUGGGCAAGCGGUGACACCCUCGCCGUGAGCGGGGCGUUGAGCCACACCUGCUUGACAAAUAUCGGCCAACAGCCAACGUUCAUAAACUACACAAACAGUUGCAGCUCCUGGGACGCGCUCCUCCCACCAAGCAGCAAUCAAACGUGCUGGCGGAACUUGUCCCUCACGUUCUACACCGCAGUCACCAGCCAAUCCGACCCCCGCGCCAGCCUCCAGUCUUCUCUCUGCAGCUUUCUUCCCACUGACUGUGGGCUUAUUACCUACGGCGACUUGACAAGGACACAAGUCACUAUCAGCGACUCAGUUGUUACUGUCAACGUCAUGCCAUUCACUGUCAUGUCCGAAAACCGCGAGGCGACGCUGGCGACGCUUGUAACGUACGCCCAAUACGCCUCAGUGCUGGUUGAGCACAACAUCGUCUACAUUUUAGCCAACGGAGUGCAGGUGUUUUUUCAAGGUGACCCGCAGUCGUUCUCGAUUAACGGCACCUUUGAGCAGUGCGUGAAGAAGAUGUGGUACCUCGUCUUUUUGAUUAUCCUUGUCCCAUUGUUUCUCAUCGUUUCAUAUUGUCUGUUUCAGCGCGGACGGGCAUCUGGAAAGCGGAGCAUCAAGAACUCGGAGAGGGAUAUCCGCGCUGGUGUUCGCUUUAGCGCCGCACCGUGGGCUAACAUCGGCGGCGGCUAUCAGUACGGCCCUCCGCAAGGGUACGGAGGCGGCUACAAUGGUGUCGGUGAUGGGCAACAAGCCGGUGCUCUCUACGCGUCGCCACAAACUGCCCCGCAACGGUUUUCGGAACAGGGGUUUCAGGGCGGGCUUCAGGGUUGGGGAGGUCAACACUACGAUGACCAGUACUUUGGAGGCCAACAGUAUGAUGUGCAGCAAUAGGUUCCUCAGGAAAGCUACGAGAACCGAAACAGCCAGUUGUAGUACGGUGGAGAACAGCACGGUGGUGCAAACCAGUGUGGUGGCGACUGUGCGGGCCCUGCGUACCUGUGCUGGCUCCAAGAAAACAGUAUUCUGCUGUUGCCGCUCUCUCCUACGCUUCCCACCGAUUGCUCAUCUUUUCUGCUUACUGUUUCUCCUUGUGAGCGACGAUGCCGUGUGUGCAUGCAAGUUUGCGGCUUUCUUCUACGUCGUAUUUGAAAUGGCUUUGCUGUUGGUGCCUAUGUACUAGGCUGCUAAAGUUCUUAGAUGGCUCGCUUGCUUGCGCAGAGGCCUGAAUCACUUUAAUUGCUUUGUUUUUGUGCUCUUCCUCCGUUGCUUUCCAGAAGCUGAAAAGUUUGACGGGAUUACAGGCACGUGGAUCUGUGCUCGUGCGAGUGCUGUCGUCUUUCGACUCCUCUACUGUUGCCUCUCUUCAUGGUGCUUUGCAGGUGUUAGUGCUCGAUCUAUUGUGCUGGUCACUCACGGAGUGCGUUUCGCUCAGAUUGUG